UGUUAUGACAGUCUGUCAACUUUAUCAAUCAUUCUUUCUGCUCCCUUCUUUAUUCUUCCCAACGUUAGCUCCUCUACCUUUAUUCCACAAAAAUUUGUCAAAAUCUCAUCCUCUCUGUUUAAACGUCUAAAGCAUACGCGAACCAGCCGUCUGAUUUUCGUAAUUUUUGUGUGUCAAACAAGAGAAGUACACGUCAAUUCUAUGCCAUACACAGGAAAGAAUAUGUGAAAUAUGCAAAGGUGUUUCCAUUGUCUGGUACGCUGGAUUUCAAAGUACCAAGUAAAUGGUACAGACGAGUCGUCGGAUCGCUCGAGAUUAUUUGUGGACUUGCAAUGGCUAUAGUUCCAAGUCGUAA